UCCUUGAUUCAGCGGCGGACGGGUGAGUAAUGCCUAGGAAACUGCCUGAUGGAGGGGGAUAACUACUGGAAACGGUAGCUAAUACCGCAUAACGUCGCAAGACCAAAGAGGGGGACCUUCGGGCCUCUUGCCAUCGGAUGUGCCCAGAUGGGAUUAGCUAGUAGGUGGGGUAACGGCUCACCUAGGCGACGAUCCCUAGCUGGUCUGAGAGGAUGACCAGCCACACUGGAACUGAGACACGGUCCAGACUCCUACGGGAGGCAGCAGUGGGGAAUAUUGCACAAUGGGCGCAAGCCUGAUGCAGCCAUGCCGCGUGUAUGAAGAAGGCCUUCGGGUUGUAAAGUACUUUCAGCGGGGAGGAAGGGAGUAAAGUUAAUACCUUUGCUCAUUGACGUUACCCGCAGAAGAAGCACCGGCUAACUCCGUGCCAGCAGCCGCGGUAAUACGGAGGGUGCAAGCGUUAAUCGGAAUUACUGGGCGUAAAGCGCACGCAGGCGGUUUGUUAAGUCAGAUGUGAAAUCCCCGGGCUCAACCUGGGAACUGCAUCUGAUACUGGCAAGCUUGAGUCUCGUAGAGGGGGGUAGAAUUCCAGGUGUAGCGGUGAAAUGCGUAGAGAUCUGGAGGAAUACCCGGUGGCGAAGGCCGGCCCCCUGGACGAAGACUGACGCUCAGGUGCGAAAGCGUGGGGAGCAAACAGGAUUAGAUAUCCUGGUAGUCCACGCCGUAAACGAUGUCGACUUGGAGGUUGUGCCCUUGAGGCGUGGCUUC
rnacentral:rRNA from 1 species